rnacentral:piRNA from 1 species
UAGAAGGCAGAAUUGUCAGGUGUAUCACAGA